rnacentral:lncRNA from 1 species
AACUCAUUUCUCUUACUAGGACAGCGACGAGAUUGCCGAAGUGGAAAAGUUGAGAGAAUGCCAACCGGAAAUAGUUUGGAAACUGUUAGUCUUUAAUGCAGGCCCUUGAAAUAGGGAAAUCACUGCGACAUCUCUUGAAGAGUUUUGUGGCUUUUCCUUUGAAAGGACGUGAAAUUUUUCUUUUUCUCGACUGAGCACAAAGAAUAGUCAAGACGAGUAAAUCCGAGUAUUUGACUGCAAUUCCUAGACCCUUCCAUUCGGAACCAAUAUUUCUGAGUUCAAUCAGAAAGUGAACCGAGUCCUACAAAACAUAACAUCAUUUCUGUCAUCUUUAUUGAGGUCAGGACACCGUGUGUUCGCUUUCAUGAUAUACAUAUUUUGUGAAACACAGUUUUCGUUGUCCAGCCACCACUUGACCUAAAAACUGUUUCUUAGUUGCAAUUCAAUUUAUUCAUUUUGAUCAGGUUCCCAUUUCUUUGUUAGGUGGUAUGGUAUCAAGUCUCAAGUCCAGUUCAAGGUAUUAAUUGCCAUGUACAAACAUGAAAUAUUGAAUCCUCGUUGACGCCGAAAUCUCCAAACAAUUAGGAAAAACUAUUUAGAGGAAAGUUAACUGACAAUCCAAAGCAACCAAAAGAAAAAAACUGUUCACCACAUUCAAAGGCUAAUCGAGUAAUCUGCAAUUAAAAAUUGUGCUCAUAAAUGUUGAUUGAGGUUAAAGGGGAUCCUGAGAUCAGCUUGGUACAGCAGUGUUUUGUCACAGCCUGAAAUAAACCGGGGAAAAUACUGCAACGGGACUUUACCAUCGCAAUGCUGAGCAAGCACACGAUUCAAAAUUAAACACAGCUCUCUACAUAAGGUCAGUGAAAUAAGUCUUUUUCAAUAACAAUUUACGUCAGUAUUUUCACUUUAUAUUACAUGGUAUUAUAAUGUUCAAGACAAUAAUCCUAUCAGGAAGUAAAUUGAAAUAAACUUGGACCUUUUUACAUCCAAAAUCAAUGUUUGAGGGCCGACAACAUUUUUGAUGAGGCUGCAGUUUUCCCUUUGUUUGCCUGAAUACCAAAGGUUUUCUUGACAAGAAACACAAACAACAUGUUCAAAGAUCACGUCAAAAAUAAAGAGUAGGUGCCGUGAAUUUUACGAUGAAAACAACAGAAAAAUAAACGAAGCAAUAAUAUUAACCGCGUAAUCCCUUUUGACACCACAUGAUCAUGAGGUGGCAUGAAAAGAAUGUCGGCUUUGAGUACUGCCGUGCAAUUCAUGCGCUUCAUUUCAAGACCAGUCAGAUCAAACGGUAAAAGCUCUUUUAUUUCAAUCAAUUGUUAUUUUCAACCCCGGCCCCGCGUUUUCCACCUAGCCUUUCUUUGGUAUGUAGCUUUCUUGCGCCAAUUUUUGCUAUGUUGUAUAGCGAUGACACAACAUUUAACACAGUCACUCCCAAGAAGCCUUAUCAAUAAGCGGAAACUACCAUAACCAAGGUGUUGAGCGAAACGGAAACAACGCAGGUAUUCUAGUCACGUCUUUCACCGCAAAGCCGGAAAUACGCCAAGACCUUGAGAGACUAUUUUAUUACGUUCGUUUGUGAGGCAAAUAAAUUAUGUCAUAUCAAAGUGUUUGUCCUUUUUUUUUCGAGGAACGAAUCAGUGCCUGGGAAAAAGAUUUCUGGUCAACUUUGCUUUGCGAAUUAGUACCACUGCACAUACGGUCCCUGAUAUCAGUUUUUGUUCAAAGAGAAGAGAUUUUGAAUGUUUAAAGUUUUUUAUCUUCUAAAAUCCCACGGCCGCCUCUUCGAUUCUUAGAGGAUGUGACAAACAAGUGGAUGUCACCGCUGAACUUGGCAUCAUCUUGUUUCUCUUGUUUGUCUCAGGCCGUACGUAUACAUGUGACGGAAAUGAAAUGACUGAAUCGUCGAUGGAAGAAUUUUAUUCAAGUUGGAUCUUGGAGCUUUAAAAGUAUGGAACUGUAAUAGCUUUUCUAGCAAAACCUAUAAUUGUUGUUAUCAAAACCAUUCGGAACUCCUAUCACCAAUACAAUGGAGAAACCCCCAGUAAGGGCGGGACCCAAAGGAACAAAUAAAUAAAAUUGUUUUCCUCUUC